GACACUAAGUGAAACCCGUAAUUCUCCUAAUUCCUUAGUGUCGGGAUGUGUGAGUCACCAGUCGUCUCCUUUCUUUCUUCCUUCCUCCCUAACCCCUUUUCCUUGGUUUCCAGCCUAAAGCCAAUAAACUCAAACGCCUCGCGUGCUCUCUCUUUCUUCUCUUUCCAGGGGGAGAGGGAAUUUUGAGGCUUUCUCACCUUCUACUUGAUACUUUUCUUCUCCGAUUCAUCAAACCGAAACCCUUUUUUAAUACUUUGUCAUGCACCGCUAACACAAGCAAUCAAUCUUUUCCAGAGAAGACCCUUUUGAACUUCUUGGGUUUUUGACCGUUUUAGUCUACUGAAUUUGGUUUUAGUGAUCAGGAUUUAGGGACAGGGAUAUGAAGGGUGAGGAUCAAUCGAGGUCUCUGUUCGGAAUUUCUCUAUCUGAUCGACCUAAAUGGCAGCAAUUCCUUAUUUGUUCUUCUGGGUUCUUCUUUGGUUAUCUCGUUAAUGGCAUUUGCGAGGUUGUGUUGAUUCAAUGGCAUUCUGAGGCUCAUUGUCGUGCUAAAAAGAGGAUGUUCUUUUCUUGUUCUUUGUGCACUGUUUUAUUGUUUUUGAAUUCUUCUUUUGACCUCAAUUUUUAUGAAUAUUCAUAAAUUUGAUAAUUCUUCACUGGUUAAUUUCAGGAAUAUGUGUAUAAUCGGCUUCAGUUCAGCUAUGGCUGGUAUUUCACUUUUGUGCAAGGAUUUGUGUACCUGGUACUAAUAUGCUUUCAGGGUUUCACCACUAAGCAAAUGGUGAACCCAUGGAAAACGUAUGUGAAACUCUCUGCCGUUCUUAUGGGUUCUCAUGGAUUGACCAAGGGUUCCUUGGCCUUCCUUAACUAUCCAGCCCAAAUCAUGUUCAAAUCAACCAAGGUGCUUCCUGUCAUGGUAAUGGGUGCCUUUAUUCCGGGCUUGAGGAGGAAAUAUUCAUUUCAUGAAUACAUCUCUGCUCUGCUUCUAGUUAUUGGUCUGAUCCUUUUCACCUUAGCAGAUGCCCAAACUUCUCCAAAUUUUAGCAUAAUUGGCGUUCUAAUGAUCUGUGGGGCUUUAGUUAUGGAUUCUUUAAUGGGGAACUUGCAAGAAGCAAUUUUUACGAUGAAUCCUGACACAAAACAGAUUGAGGUGCUAUUCUGCUCAACAGUAGUAGGAUUGCCUUUCUUGCUUCCACCAAUGAUAUUGACAGGAGAGCUGUUUAAGGCUUGGAAUUCUUGUUCCCAACAUCCUUAUGUGUAUGGAGUGCUAGUAUUUGAAGCAAUGGCCACAUUCAUUGGGCAAGUGUCUGUUUUAUCCCUUAUUGCUAUUUUUGGGGCUGCUGCCACUGCCAUGGUAUGUGUAUUUUUAGCCUCCUAUAUAUAUAUUUUUUUGUUGCGUUUUGCUCUAUAAUUUUAAAUUUAUUGUCUACUAGUUUAAUACCCCACUCAAGGGACUAGUGGGUUGAUCUACUGCUUGUUAGAUGGGUUUGAAAUGGGGGCAUUGAGUUUUUUGGGAGAAAAUCUCCAGUACAUUAUUACAUCCAUGGACCUUGUUACAGAAUCUGUUGAUUUUUGCGCAUCCAUGGUCUGUGGACCACUGAAAUAGUAAUGGUGGACAUAUACCUGUACAACCCAGCGUCUUUCUUUUAUAGUGUUGGGCAUGAGAGCAAUUACUGAGUAUAUAUCGUCUAAUUUUCUGAUACUUUGCUCUCAAUUUGUGAUGUCUGAUAUUUUUUUCAACUUUUCAAUAUUAUGGGACUUGAAACAUUCAAUCAUCAUCAGAAAAAAGGUAGUAUAAAUUCUGUCUGUUGAAAUUCAAGUGCUGGAUUGCACAAUUGCCACAGAUAUAUCUAACAGCUGAGUUUGAUUUCUACGUUGAUGCAGAUAACAACAGCUAGAAAGGCAGUCACCUUGUUACUGUCAUACAUGAUAUUUACGAAGCCAUUAACGGAGCAGCAUGGGACAGGGCUACUGCUCAUAGCCAUGGGAAUAAUAUUGAAGAUGUUGCCAGAUAACAAACCACCCAGUAAGCAGGGGAAGUCACAUUUGAAAGAAGAUAAAAGUCAUGUUGAUAAUAGAGAAGGUGAAGAAGAUGAAGAAAAUCAGCCCUUAGUGUGAAGAAUGAAGAUCAAGCUCAUAAUUUAUUUGUUCUUUUCUUUCUUUCUUUCUUUCUUUCCUUCGCUUCCUCUCUCUCUCUCUAUCUCUUGGAAUUCGAAGAGAGUGAAAUCUAGGGUUCAAUUUAUUUUUCUUCGGGAGAAAUAAUCUAGGGUUAGGUCAUACAAUAAAACCUGAAAUCGAAGGGAUCUCGAUCUCUGAUUAAACAAAGAGGCAACAAGAAAAUGAGCUUGGAUUCGGUCCCUGCGAACGCGCAUGGAAACCUUGAUGAGCAGAUUAAUCAGCUCAUGCAGUGCAAGCCCUUAUCUGAGCAAGAGGUAAGGAUGUUGUGUGAAAAGGCUAAGGAGAUUUUGAUGGAAGAAAGCAAUGUUCAGCCUGUUAAAAGUCCUGUUACAAUAUGUGGUGAUAUCCAUGGUCAAUUCCAUGAUCUUGCUGAACUUUUUCGAAUUGGAGGAAAGGUAAUUCUCUGAUCUAUGAGUACUUAUUGUAAUAUUUGCUAAGGAAUUAAUCAUUAGAGCUGAUGUUAUUAUUGUUCCUUUCUUUUUUUUCCUUUUAUUAAUUAGCUGUUGCAGGGGUCACCACUCUCUGGGUUUUUCUUCAUUUCAUAAUCACUAGAAAAUUGAUACAUUUUGCUCACUGUGUUUCAUUUGUUGUUGUUCUUUGUCCAAUUGUUUAUAUUCUUCUCUCCCUGUUUCUUUUUAAUUUAUUAUUAUUUUUUAUUAUACAUAGUAUAGUGUGUUGCAACCUCAUUUAUGUUUUCAGUUAAUGGUUCUCUCACAUUGUGAAAGGGACUGUUUUUAAUUGUGAUGUUGUGGACUGUCUAAGGCAAUAACUGGAUAUUCCUUAGCCUGUUGAAUAUCUUUUCAUUUUUCAAUAUAAGAGUACUCUUCAAUAUCAUCAUUUGUGUAUUGCUGUCCUGAUUUCCUCUGUUAGGUCUAGAUCUUAUAUUUGUACUUUUUUUUCCUGUUUCUGUUGGCUCAUCAAAUAAUUUUCAUAAAAAUCCACACUUGAAAUUAUAAUAUUAAUUUCUUGUUUCAUUCUGGUUUGUGGUAGUGUCCAGAUACAAAUUAUUUGUUCAUGGGAGAUUAUGUUGACCGUGGCUAUUACUCAGUUGAAACUGUAACGCUUUUGGUAGCUCUGAAGGUGCGUUAUCCUCAACGAAUUACCAUUCUACGGGGAAAUCAUGAAAGUCGUCAGAUUACUCAAGUUUAUGGGUUCUAUGAUGAAUGCCUACGGAAGUAUGGCAAUGCCAAUGUUUGGAAGAUCUUUACAGAUUUGUUCGACUAUUUUCCACUGACAGCAUUGGUUGAAUCAGAGAUAUUUUGUCUCCAUGGUGGAUUAUCCCCUUCCAUUGAAACCCUUGACAACAUACGUAAUUUUGAUCGUGUUCAAGAAGUUCCCCAUGAGGGUCCGAUGUGUGAUCUUUUGUGGUCUGAUCCUGAUGACCGCUGUGGCUGGGGUAUCUCACCAAGAGGUGCUGGAUAUACUUUUGGCCAAGUAAUAAACUUGCCUUAUUUUCAUUGCUGUUCUCUGUUUCUCCUGGAGCAUGAAGUAUUUUUCGGAAUGUGCUAAUUUUUAUUUUCGUUAGGACAUAUCUGAGCAAUUUAACCAUACAAACAACUUAAAGCUGAUUGCUAGAGCUCACCAGCUGGUUAUGGAAGGAUAUAACUGGGGUCAUGAACAAAAGGUGGUUACUAUAUUUAGUGCACCUAACUAUUGUUAUCGCUGUGGAAACAUGGCAUCCAUAUUGGAAGUUGAUGACUGCAAGGGUCACACUUUCAUUCAGUUUGAGCCUGCUCCAAGGAGGGGAGAGCCAGAUGUUACCCGAAGAACACCUGAUUACUUCCUAUGAUUUAAGCUGGAAGUGAGUCAUGAAUCCCCCUGGCUAGUGCCUCCUAGCUGGUUUACAUAUUGAGGGCUUCUUCAAAUUUAAGAUUUUAAUCGCUAUGGUGGCAGUUGGGUGGUGAAAAUCAUGUAUAAUGGCAGGUGAGGCUUCCUUUAUUUGAUUGUUAUCAUUGAUGAUGCUUUGGUUUCCACAAGAGGAAGCAGUGGGCCUGGCGAGCAAUUGCUGCGUAUGUACCAUUUCCAGCAAACAAUGUGGCAUCUUUCAUCCCAUUUCCUUGAUUUUGUUUUUUUGAUCUUUAUCCUUGUUAAUUUUUUUUUUUUUAAUUUUCUGUAGAAGGGAUGGUUUGAGGAUAUGUAGAGUGACACUGAGUCGACUUAUAAUGGGUGUUUCUAUUUUAUUUUUACUUGUCCUUUCCGUAGUUCUAAUCAAGCAUUCUCGAAUAUCAGCUUCCGUUAUUUUCGUCAUAGUUUUUUUGCUCGCACAUGUUACACCUAAUUUUCUUUCCUUUUUUUUUCUUCCUUCUUUUUUAAUUGAGAAAAGAGAGUUCCCAAUUGAUGCGUCCCACAUUAAUUCUGCAGGGAGGUCUUG
rnacentral:misc_RNA from 1 species